AAGACUGUUGAUAGGAUUCACACAAAGGCAUUCAGAGAAAGGAUAUUUGGCAGAUAGAUCAUUUCCCUGAGCUUCAUAUCACUCUUCUAGGCCACCUACUGUGCUGCCCGAGAGGAGUCAUAUAACCUUUGACUAAAUGUAGGAAUUUAAGCUAUGAAAAGGUCUGAAACUUGACACGCUCCAUGACGCCACCCUGUCAGUUGUUAAAGAUAAUUCUGCAUUAGAUACCAAAUUCUGAAAAUAGAAUUACACAAAGGUUAUUUAUCUACCUUUGCCCUUCCAUACUUUCAACUGAACCCUGCUGUGAUUGGAGAUUUCCUGAAAUCAACACUUUGUCUAUAUUAACUUUUGUGUUUAAAUCUGUCGCUGAGCACAAAAGACCUCUGCAGAAGGCAGUGAUUGCAAGCCAGCCAAUUUGAGGCCAACAAAAACAGCUGAUUGCCCAAUUAGCAGCUCCUGUCACCCCAUCACAAAAAGCUCUCUCACAGAUGGCUUACUUUUGAUUACGAUUCCCAUUCCCAUGAAGCAGAAUGAAACACUUGGUCACCUGAGUUAGGAUGAUGUGGGAGACCACCUGUGUCAACUGAGGCCCAUCUAGCUUGUCAUCAGAGCCAGCCCAACCAUUUUUGCUGCUUGAGGCAAAGGAGAAGUUCCCUAUUUCACAGACAGAAGCUGACUGGACUGGCAGUUGGAUCUUACUUCAACACUGGCAAUGGGACAACAUUUUACACUGGACUUCACGGCAACAGGGCCAAUGAAGAGGAGUAGGGAAUGUAAAGAGUGCCAUCCCAUGACCUGAAUAGUUUUCAAGCUAUGCCUGUACCAACUCAUUUUUGUACCAUAUCACUAUUUUCUAGAAAUUCACAUCUGCAGCAAGCGUUGUUUUCCGUCCAACACCAAAUCAAGGCCUGGUCUUAGGCAUCAUCAAAUUGUUGAUCAUGCAGCUGAAUACUGAAUAUUUGUUCAGUAUUCCAGCAACUAGU